rnacentral:lncRNA from 1 species
UGGGAUGGAUGGGGACAUUAUGGGAUGGAUGGGGACAUUAUGAUGGGGACAUUAUGGGAUGGAUGAGGACAUUGUGAUUGGGACAUUAUGGGAUGGAUGGGGACAUUAUGGGAUGGAUGGGGCUGUCAUGUCAAUGGGAUGGGGGCACUCAGUGGGGUGAAUGGGGACGUCUUGUGGGGCAGAGCUGUGGGGGGCGGCUUGAGGGGGAGCUCAAUGGGGGCAGCUCUAUGGGGUCAGAUCAGUGGGGGGCAUCUCAAUAGGGUCACCUCUAUGGGGGAUGUCCCAAUGGGGUCACCUCUAUGGGGUCACCUCUAUGGGGGAUGUCCCUAUGGGGUCACCUCUAUGGGGGACACCUUUAUGGGGACACGUCUAUGGGGACACAUCUAUGGGGUCACCUCUAUGGGGCCAUCCCUAUGGGGUCACCUCUAUGGGGGACACCUCUAUGGGGACACAUCUAUGGGGACACCUCAAUGGGGCACCUCAAUGGGGGCACCUCAAUGGGGCACCUCAAUGGGGCACCUCAAUGGGGGCACCUCAAUGGGGUCACCUCUAUGGGGGACAUCCCAAUGGGGUUGACUCUAUGGGGUCAUCACAAUGGGGUCCAUAAUGGGGUCACCUCAAUGGGGUCACCAUAAUGGGGUCACUAUAAUAGGGUCACUAUAAUAGGAUCACCAUAUUGGGGUCCACAAUGGGGUCACCCUAAUGGGGUCACUGUAAUGGGGUCUCCAUAAUGGGGUCACCAUAAUGGAGUCCCUAUAGUAGGGUCCCCUCAAUGGGGUCUCCAUAUUGGGGUCCACAAUGGGGUCACUCUAAUAGGGUCACCAUAUUGGGGUCACCUCAAUGGGGUCACCAUAAUAGGGUCACCACAUUGGGGUCCCUCAAUGGGGUCACCAUAAUAGGGUCCCCUCAAUGGGGUCUCCAUAUUGGGGUCCCCUCAAUGGGGUCUCCAUAUUGGGGUCCACAAUGGGGUCACCCUAAUAGGGUCAUCCCAAUGAGGUUAUUAUAAUAGGGUCUCCAUAAUGGGGUCACCUCAGUGGGGUCACCAUAUUGGGGUCCACAGUGGGGUCACCCUAAUAGGGUUCCCUCAAUGGGGUCACCAUAUUGAGGUCACCACAAUGGGGUCACUAUAAUGGGGUCACCUCAAUGGGGUCACCAUAUUGGGGUCCCCUCAAUGGGGUCACUAUAAUAGGGUCACC